UCCUCGGUAAUAUAGUGGUAAGUAUCCGCGCUUGUCAAGCGGGAAACCGGGGUUCGACUCCCCGCCGGGAGU